rnacentral:lncRNA from 1 species
UCUGGCUGCUCAAGUGUCCCGAACAUGGUAUAUUUUUGCCUCAUUUCCCUGGUGUAAAUAUUUUACCGUGAGUGAAUAGACCAGAUUAUGUAGAAUCAUGCAAAUUAGUUAUUGAUAGGCUAUAUCAACAUAUCCAUAACUACGGGGGAAAAGUAUUAUAAAAAAAAAUGUAUUUUUUUAGUAGAUACUGCGGUGUGGAAUGCUCUUGCGAUUUAUCAUGAAAAUGGUGACCAAAAGGACAGCUUAGAAUUUUGCCAGGAAAUAUUAGAUACAAAUAUUGAAGAGUUCCAGCACACUUCGAAAAAAGGAGGACCUAGCAAGGAAGAUCAGGCUGGACCGGUUAGACUGACAGGGCGCCAUUUUGUAGAAUUUAUACCACCUACGAAAAAGAAAGCUGCUCCAUGUAGGACAUGCGCUAUUUGCUGCAGUAAAAGGGAUAUAGGAGGACGAAGAAUAAGGAAGGAAACAAGGUCUUAUAUACUUCAUAGCAGCCAGAGUAAACCCUAAAAUUAUACUGAAUAAUUAUGUAUAUAAAAUUAACAACAAGAUGAGUGAUAGAACAUAUUGGAAAUGUAUUUCUUACACCAGAACCCAAUGUAAAUGUCGAGUCACCACUCACGGCACAAUUGCUAGAAUCAAUGGAUCACACAAUCAUCCGCCUACAAUGGAAAGCUGUCACGGCCUGAAGUCGCAACGUGUUUUUGUCACGUAUAAUAAAGUUGAAAGGCGAAGGGUCACUUCAGAUGAAUUAAAUAAUUAUAUUUAUAACAUAGAUUAAUUUACUUAGUUGGUUUUACAGUCUAAAUAAAAUCUUUAUUUAACGUAA